UUGGCUUGGUGGCUGCCGUGUGCUUAGAGAGAAGGGAGAGGGAGAGCUUGUGAGUUCUAGAGAGAGAGGUGGAGAAGAAGAACAUGAAGGAGAAGAGAAGGAGAAGAAAGAAGAGGCCAAGGCUAGGGAUCCUAAGGUUUGGAUUUUGUUGCAAGAGGAUUGGAGGCUAGUGUUCGAAAUCCCUAGGGCUUGAACAAGUGGUGGCCAUAGUUUGGGUUAUUGUCACUAUUGUCCUUGAGUUCUAGCAAGAGAGGUAAUGGGAACCUUUUUGUCUUGUGGUUAUUGUUUUUAUCUUUGGUUUCUUGUGGUUUGGAGAAUAUUG